CAGCCAAUACAGUAUUGAAACACCAGUUCUACGAUCGCCGAAGUUAAGCAACGUCGAGCCUGGUCAGUACCAAGAUGGAUCACCACAUGGGAAUACUAGAGGCUGUUA